rnacentral:rRNA from 1 species
AGACGGGACCCGCACAAGCGGUGAUGAUGUGGUUUAAUUCGAUGCAACGCGAAAAACCUUUACCCACCUUUGACAUGUACGGAAUCCUUUAGAGAUAGAGGAGUGCUCGAAAGAGAACCGUAACACAGGUGCUGCAUGGCUGUCGUCAGCUCGUGUCGUGAGAUGUUGGGUUAAGUCCCGCAACGAGCGCAACCCUCGACCUUAGUUGCCAGCAUUCAGUUGGGCACUCUAGCGAGACUGCCGGUAAUAAACCGGAGGAAGGUGGGAUGACGUCAAAUCAUCAUGCCCCUUAUGACCUGGGCUACACACGUGCUACAAUGGUUGGUACAACGAGUUGCGAGUCGGUGACGGCGAGCUAAUCUCUUAAAGCCAAUCUCAGUUCGGAUUGUAGGCUGCAACUCGCCUACAUGAAGUCGGAAUCGCUAGUAAUCGCGGAUCAGCACGCCGCGGUGAAUACGUUCCCGGGCCUU